GUGCCAGCAGCCGCGGUAAUACGUAGGGGGCAAGCGUUGUCCGGAAUCAUUGGGCGUAAAGCGCGCGCAGGCGGUCCUUUAAGUCUGAUGUGAAAGCCCACGGCUCAACCGUGGAGUUGCAUUGGAAACUGGAGGACUUGAGUGCAGGAGAGGAGAGUGGAAUUCCUGGUGUAGCGGUGAAAUGCGUAGAGAUCAGGAGGAACACCGAUGGCGAAGGCAGCUCUCUGGCCUGUAACUGACGCUGAGGCGCGAAAGCGUGGGGAGCAAACAGGAUUAGAUACCCUGGUAGUCC
rnacentral:rRNA from 1 species